CUUGAAGGGUUAAGGCUCCCAGUAGACGACUGGGUUGAUAGGCCAGAUGUGGAAGCCCGGUAACGGGUGGAGCUGACUGGUACUAAUAGGCCGAGGGCUUGUCCUCAGUUG
rnacentral:rRNA from 1 species